rnacentral:misc_RNA from 2 species
AACGCACAUUGCACUCCUUGGUAUUCCGAGGAGUAUGCCUGUUUCAGUAUCAUGAGCACUCUCACAUCUAACCUUUGGGUUAAAAUGUGGAAUUGGGAUGCGCCGGUUAUUAUAACGGCCCUCCUAAAAUUCAGUUCUUGGCUGCUUCCUACUACAGCAGUUUGGCCUAAUAGUUUUGAGUCUUCGAUUCAAAUCUUUGGCUAACAUUUGCUUCAGGAUGUCAGUCUUGAUAUACAGAAAUCUCAUUCAAACUUUGAUCUGAAAUCAGGUAGGGCUACCCGCUGAACUUAA